CUGAGCUAUAGGGGAUAUGUUAGAGUCAACCAAUAACAGAUGGUAACUCUGAGUCUCUAUGUUUUCUCCUUGGGGUACACAAGGCUACUGCUUGCCAUCUAGUGCUGGGCUGUCUUGAUAUCUGUUGGCAGUGUUUGAAUGUCCUUCCAUGCUGAUCAGGACUCUGGAGUCAGCUACUCAGGAGCAGUGUGGUCCAAGAAAGUCCCACUAUAGGAAAAACUUCAGAGAGGAUGCCAUUCUGAACCAAUGAGAACCCUCAUAUGAUCAAGAACGUCUUUGUAUGUAGAAGACUUUAUUGGAAGAAGACAAGAGUCACAUCAAACCUGCUCCCGGGGACUGAGAAGGCAAACUUGUUGCUAGAGCAGCACCUGAAACUGUCUAUGACCAAAUACUUGACAAGAAGCAACUUACAGAAGAAAAUACUGGGGCUGGAGAUUAGCUUAGUCAGUAGAAUGCUUUCCCAGCAUGCAUGAAGCCCUGGGUCCAAUCCCCAGCCCCACACAAAAGCAGAAGGAUCAGAAGUGCAUUGCUCUGGUAGCCAGCUUAGAACAGGCGAGACCCUUUAUAGGGUGGAGAGAUCUAUUUUGGCACAUGGAGUAGCCCAUCCAUCUCUGUUGGGAAAAUAUUUUCCAACUGGCAAAAGAUGUGGUACAGGCAUAGUGGCAGAAACUGCUUGAGGCUGAAGCAGUAGGAGUGUGAAACUGCUUGGUCACAUCUAGAUGGAUGAACAAAUGGAGCAAAACAGAUGCUGGUAACUCACCUGGCUUUCUCCUUUUCCCUGCUUUGUUCAGUCUUGGAACCCAGCCAAUAGAAUGGUGCCACUCACAUUCUGAGUGGGUCUUCCCUGCAUCACAGAUAUGCCUAAGAAAAAUGUACCUUAUUAAUGAUCAGGUGUUUCUU
rnacentral:lncRNA from 1 species